AACGAACGCUGGCGGCAGGCUUAACACAUGCAAGUCGAGCGCCCCGCAAGGGGAGCGGCAGACGGGUGAGUAACGCGUGGGAAUCUACCCAUCUCUACGGAAUAACGCAUGGAAACGUGUGCUAAUACCGUAUGCGUCCUUCGGGAGAAAGAUUUAUCGGAGAUGGAUGAGCCCGCGUUGGAUUAGCUAGUUGGUGGGGUAAAGGCCUACCAAGGCGACGAUCCAUAGCUGGUCUGAGAGGAUGAUCAGCCACACUGGGACUGAGACACGGCCCAGACUCCUACGUGAGGCAGCAGUGGGGAAUAUUGGACAAUGGGCGCAAGCCUGAUCCAGCCAAGCCGCGUGAGUGAUGAAGGCCCUAGGGUUGUAAAGCUCUUUCACCGGUGAAGAUAAUGACGGUAACCGGAGAAGAAGCCCCGGCUAACUUCGUGCCAGCCGCCGCGGUAAAAC
rnacentral:rRNA from 1 species